UGGCUUCCAGGCUCACGCAGCGGUGGAUGGCCGCGGUCAAGGGUGAGAAGUGAUGGGAGGUACAGUGCCCAGUGCUUUCUGAGGCUUUUUAUCGGUUUAGUCGCUGCCGGCUUG
rnacentral:rRNA from 11 species